UACUAUGCAUUGAAAUAUACAUAAAUAAAUAGGGGAAAAUGGGGAGACGGUACCAACUGGACUUCACAAAUUGGUUGGCAAAUUUCAGUUUUCCAAGUUUAAGUGCAAAAAGAACUGGGGCCAUUUCGCUAGACUACAGCUUUAGAGGACUAAGAAGCUGGAAACCAGGUUGUUUUAUGAUUUUAAGAUUACAAUUUUGUGAUCAACUAUUCUGUAUAGAAUACCAGUAAAAAAAAUAUUGAAUAUAUCAACACCUCCCCGGGCCCCUGCAACCUCAUGAAUAUCUCAACGAUUUCCCCCAAGUAAAAAAGAACAACGCAACGCAUCGCAUCGCAUGACAGAGUUUUCCUUCAACCCCGAAGGCAGUCAUGGCAACUAAUCCAAUAAGUUCCCCUUGCACUAUCCUAAUGAGCCAUUUUAUUUGCCUAGCCCUCCUAGUGAGCCCCAUGGAACUGCUUGGAAGGCCCUAUCCCAUCACCAAUCCCCUAUCCACAUCCUGUUGCUGGAACAAAAAGUUUUCUAUGCCGCCUUCCGAGACAGGCGACAAAAGUUACAUUUAAUGAAGCAUCAGGACACACACAACGCUGGGGCUUCCUGCAGAUUCAGAUAGAGGGAGAGGUGAUAGAGGGGCCGGGACUUUCAACUUGUUGGCUGGCAAUUUUCCAUGUCGCGCAAUUAGGCAAAAAGUUAAAUUGCUUGUCAUAAAUGUGAAAUUUGCAACACAAAAAUUGACUUAAGUGAGUGCAGCUCCAGCUCCAGAGCUAGGGCCAGGACCUGGACCAGAUCUAUCUUGAGCAGCAGCUCGAAAUAAAUUUAAGCGGCUUUUGAAUUUAAAUUGCACUCAUAAGCGUCGUAACUCCUUGAGCUGUAAAAAGCGCUGAGCUGGUCUGAGCCAAAACCCCCCAUAAAGAUUACAAAAAGUCGUAAAAGGCCAGAAA